GCAAACCGAGCCGAUCCGAACCUUGGAUGAAUAUAUUUGUGCAGAAUUUGAGACAUACAGAAUUACCAUAGGCCCAUUAGAAUCAACAGUCUUUGCCAAACUGGAUCCGCACUACAGAACUUAUGAAGAUGUUUGCAUACUGAAGAAGAGACCUUGGACAAAUACUGAAACCCUCUUGGUGCCCACUACACAGGCAGGGGUGUCCAGACCUGCUCUAGGAAAGCCAGUGUUCUGUGGAGUUUAGCUCUAACUCACCUGCCUGGAACUUAUAACUAAUGAAAUUGAAGUAUCCAAAUGAAGACCCUAGCAGUAUGGAGUAUAUGGAUACAGACGUUGGCAGCAAUCAGGAGGUGAUCCAGAAGACUCGUGGGAAUCUAUUUGAAGCUGCAUCAUUGAAGACAGUUCAGCAGAAGUUGGAGUUUUAAAGGAUAAAGUUCUUCAGGACCUAGCAGUUUACAGUCUGCAAAACCAUGUUGCUGGGACUGAUAUAUGGACUGAACUUGAGCAACCCUCCUGAACUCAGGUACACAUUUGGAGUACUGAAGAAGUAAUUUCUGGAGCCAGUUCCUGUUCCUGGAAUAAGGUUUGAUUGGUUACCCAUGAAUGCCAAUUAG